rnacentral:rRNA from 1 species
CCUACGGGAGGCAGCAGUGAGGAAUAUUGGUCAAUGGGCGGGAGCCUGAACCAGCCAAGUCGCGUGAGGGAAGACGGUCCUAGGGAUUGUAAACCUCUUUAGGCGGGGAGCAAUGCCGGGCACGCGUGCCUGGAGGGAGAGUACCCGCAGAAUAAGCAUCGGCUAACUCCGUGCCAGCAGCCGCGGUAAUACGGAGGAUGCGAGCGUUAUCCGGAUUUAUUGGGUUUAAAGGGUGCGUAGGCGGAUUUUUAAGUCAGCGGUAAAAUGUCCGGGCUCAACCCGGGCCGGCCGUUGAAACUGGGGAUCUUGAGUGGGCGAGAAGUAUGCGGAAUGCGUGGUGUAGCGGUGAAAUGCAUAGAUAUCACGCAGAACUCCGAUUGCGAAGGCAGCAUACUGGCGCCCGACUGACGCUGAGGCACGAAAGCGUGGGGAUCGAACAGGAUUAGAUACCCGGGUAGUC